rnacentral:rRNA from 1 species
AUUGAACGCUGGCGGCAGGCCUAACACAUGCAAGUCGAACGGUAGCACAGAGAGCUUACUCUCGGGUGACGAGUGGCGGACGGGUGAGUAAUGUCUGGGAAACUGCCCGAUGGAGGGGGAUAACUACUGGAAACGGUAGCUAAUACCGCAUAACGUCGCAAGACCAAAGUGGGGGACCUUCGGGCCUCACACCAUCGGAUGUGCCCAGAUGGGAUUAGCUAGUAGGUGGGGUAAUGGCUCACCUAGGCGGCGAUCCCUAGCUGGUCUGAGAGGAUGACGAGCCACACUGGAACUGAGACACGGUCCAGACUCCUACGGGAGGCAGCAGUGGGGAAUAUUGCACAAUGGGCGCAAGCCUGAUGCAGCCAUGCCGCGUGUAUGAAGAAGGCCUUCGGGUUGUAAAGUACUUUCAGCGGGGAGGAAGGCGGUGAAGUUAAUAACUUCACCGAUUGACGUUACCCGCAGAAGAAGCACCGGCUAACUCCGUGCCAGCCGCCGCGGUAA